rnacentral:rRNA from 1 species
UACGUAGGGUGCAAGCGUUGUCCGGAAUUAUUGGCGUAAAGAGCUCGUAGGCGGUCUGUCGCGUCUGCUGUGAAAACUCAGGGCUUAACCCUGAGCUUGCAGUGGGUACGGGCAGACUAGAGUGCGGUAGGGGAGACUGGAAUUCCUGGUGUAGCGGUGAAAAUGCGCAGAUAUCAGGGAGGGAAACACCCGGGUGGGCGAAAGGGCGGGGGUCU